CCUACGGGAGGCUGCAGUCGAGAAUCAUUCACAAUGGGGGAAACCCUGAUGGUGCGACGCCGCGUGGGGGAAUGAAGGUCUUCGGAUUGUAAACCCCUGUCAUGUGGGAGCAAAUUAAAAAGAUAGUACCACAAGAGGAAGAGACGGCUAACUCUGUGACAGCAGCCGCGGUAAUACAGAGGUCUCAAGCGUUUUUCGGAAUCACUGGGCGUAAAGCGUGCGUAGGCGGUUUCGUAAGUCGUGUGUGAAAAGCGCGGGUUCAACCCGCGGAGUGCACAUGAUACUGCGAGACUAGAGUAAUGGAGGGGGAACCGGAAUGCUCGGUGUAGCAGUGAAAUGCGUAGAUAGCGAGAGGAACACUCGUGGCGAAGGCGGGUUCCUGGACAUUAACUAACGCUGAGGCACGAAGGCCAGGGGAGCGAAAGGGAUUAGAUACCCGUGUAGUC
rnacentral:rRNA from 1 species